GCCGGGCGUUGUGGCGGGCGCCUGUGGUCCCAGCUACUUGGGAGGCAGAGGCAGGAGACUCGCUUGAGCCCAGGAGUUGGAGGUUGCUGUGAGCUGUAAUGCCACGGUACUCUGCCCAGGGGGACAGCUUGAGACUCUGUCUCAAAAAAAAAAAAAAAAAAAAAAAAGAGACAGAGUCUCACUUUGUCACCUUCAGUAGAGUGCCGUGGUGUCACAGAAACCUCUAGCUCUUGGGAUUAGGCGAUUCUCUUGCCU
rnacentral:sRNA from 1 species